rnacentral:rRNA from 1 species
ACGAACGCUGGCGGCGUGCUUAACACCUGCAAGUCGAACGGAAAGGCCCUGCUUUUGUGGGGUGCUCGAGUGGCGAACGGGUGAGUAACACGUGAGUAACCUGCCCUUGACUUUGGGAUAACUUCAGGAAACUGGGGCUAAUACCGGAUAGGAGCUCCUGCUGCAUGGUGGGGGUUGGAAAGUUUCGGCGGUUGGGGAUGGACUCGCGGCUUAUCAGCUUGUUGGUGGGGUAGUGGCUUACCAAGGCUUUGACGGGUAGCCGGCCUGAGAGGGUGACCGGCCACAUUGGGACUGAGAUACGGCCCAGACUCCUACGGGAGGCAGCAGUGGGGAAUAUUGCACAAUGGGCGGAAGCCUGAUGCAGCAACGCCGCGUGCGGGAUGACGGCCUUCGGGUUGUAAACCGCUUUCGCCUGUGACGAAGCGUGAGUGAUGGUAAUGGGUAAAGAAGCACCGGCUAACUACGUG